AGGAACAGUCUGACCGCGUGCCUUUUGCAGAAUGAGCCAGCGAGUUACAUCGGUGUAGCAAGGUUAAGUCGCCCAAGGCGACGAAGCCGUAGCGAAAGCGAGUCUGAACAGGGCGUCAUAGUUACAUCGAGUAGACCCGAAACUGAGUGAUCUAUCCAUGGUCAAGAUGAAGGUCGCCGAAAGGCGACUGGAGGUCUGAACCCAUUAGCCUUGAGAAGCUACGGGAUGAACUGUGGAUAGGGGUGAAAGGCCAAUCUAACUCAGAGAUAGCUGGUUCUCCCCGAAAUAGUUUUAGGACUAGCCUUGUAAAAUAGUUAACGGGGGUAGAGCACUGAAUGGACUAGGGUCUUUAACCGGAUUCCAAAUCCAAUCAAACUCCGAAUACCGUUAAUCUUAUUACAGGAGUCAGCCUGUGAGGGAUAAGCCUCAUAGACAAAAGGGAAACAACCCAGAUCGCUAGAUAAGGUCCCCAAGUAUGGACUAAGUGGUAAAGGAUGUAGGAUUGCUUAGACAACCAGGAUGUUGGCUUAGAGGCAGCCAUCAUUUAAAGAGUGCGUAACAGCUCACUGUUCGAUGCAGUCCUGCGCCGACAAUCAACGGGGCUAAAGUUCAUCACCGAAUCUGCGACUUUUAAUGCAGUCAUUAGUCGUUGGUCGUUAGUCAUUAGUAAGAUUUUUACUACUGACUAUUGACUAUAGACUAUCGACUGUAUAAAGGGGUAGGGGAGCGUUCCGAUUUGGAUGAAGGUAUACCGUAAGGAGUGCUGGACGAAUCGGAAGUGACGAUGCUGGCAUAAGUAACGAUAAAGCCGAUGAAAAAUCGGCUCGCCGAAAGUCUAAGGUUUCCUUGAGCAAGGUUAAUCCGCUCAGGGUAAGUCGGAACCUAAGCCGAGGCAGGAAAUGCGUAGGCGAUUGGAAAAAUCCGUUAAUAUUCGGAUACCGUCUAAAUGGCGUUUUUACUUAAGGGGUGACACAGGAAGGUGAGUCCAUCUCCGUGGAAGAUUACGGAGUCAAAGCUCUAAAGGAAGGCCAUCCAGGUAAAUCCAGGUGGUCACAAUUCCAAAGGGUGAUUGGGAGUCCAACGAAAGGCGGGCGUACUGGCGGAUCCUACACUGUCAAGAAAAACCUCUAUAGGAGUCAUUUGGAUGACCGUACUACAAACCAACACAGGUAGACGAGGAGAAGAUCCUAAGGCGCUCGAGAGAACCCUCAUUAAGGAACUCGGCAAAUUGACUCCGUAACUUCGGAAUAAGGAGUACCUUUGAAAGAUAGGAGAAAUCUUUAGAAAUGGGGGAGUCCGGACGUAAGUCGGGAUGAACUGACAUACUAAAGUGAGUAUCCUAUUCGUAAAAGGUUGCAAAAAACAGCCUCUGACGACUGUUUAACAAAAACACAGGUCUCUGCUAACCCUAAAAGGGGAAAUAUAGGGACUGACGCCUGCCCGGUGCUGGUAGGUUAUGAGGAGGAGUUAACCCCCCCGUCUUGCUUUCGUAAGAAAGCAGGGGGGGGAUGAAGCUCUGAAUUUAAGCCCCAGUAAACGGCGGUCGUAACUAUAACGAUCCUAUGGUAGCGAAAUUCCUUGUCGGGUAAGUGUCGGACUUGCCCGUAAGUCG
rnacentral:rRNA from 1 species